rnacentral:rRNA from 1 species
CCUAUCAUGCAAGUCGAACGCGCGGAUCAGGAGCUUGCUCCUGUGACGCGAGUGGCGGACGGGUGAGUAACACGUAGGCAACCUGCCCAUCAGACUGGGAUAACCACGGGAAACCGUGGCUAAUACCGGAUAACCCUUUUCCACACAGGUGGAAAAGUUGAAAGGCGGCUUCGGCUGUCACUGAUGGAUGGGCCUGCGGCGCAUUAUCUGGUUGGUGGGGUAACGGCCCACCAAGGCGACGAUGCGUAGCCGACCUGAGAGGGUGAUCGGCCACACUGGGACUGAGACACGGCCCAGACUCCUACGGGAGGCAGCAGUAGGGAAUCUUCCGCAAUGGACGAAAGUCUGACGGAGCAACGCCGCGUGAGUGAAGAAGGGUUUCGGCUCGUAAAACUCUGUUGUCAGGGAAGAACGCCGACGGGAGUAACUGCCCGUCGGGUGACGGUACCUGACCAGAAAGCCACGGCUAACUACGUGCCAGCAGCCGCGGUAAUACGUANGUGGCAAGCGUUAUCCGGAAUUAUUGGGCGUAAAGCGCGCGUAGGCGGUUCGUUAAGUCUGAUGUGAAAGCCCCCGGCUCAACCGGGGAGGGUCAUUGGAAACUGGCGGACUUGAGUGCACAAGAGGAGAGUGGAAUUCCAUGUGUAGCGGUGAAAUGCGCAGAGAUAUGUAGGAACACCAGUGGCGAAGGCGGCUCUCUGGUCUGCAACUGACGCUGAGGUGCGAAAGCGUGUGGAUCAAACAGGAUUAGAUACCCUGGUAGUCCACGCCGUAAACGAUGAGUGCUAAGUGUUAGGGGGUUUCCGCCCCUUAGUGCUGCAGCUAACGCAUUAAGCACUC